rnacentral:lncRNA from 1 species
CUGAUGCAUCCAGGUGUUUGUGAACAUCUUCAAAUCUCAACGGGAAGGAAGCCCAGUUAUGGAUGCGAAGGGAUCUUGCACAGAAGAAAUUUUAAAGCGAUUUUAUUGUUGUUUUACUCCAAAUCCUUACAUUAUUGGAUAACCUUUAAAAACGAGUCUUUUCAGGGCUAAAGAGAUGGCUCAGUGGUUAAGAGCGUUUGCUGCUCUUGCAGAGGGUCUGGGUUCAGAUGCUAGCACCAACAUAGACCCAUAAACAUCUGUACCUCCAGUUCUAGGGAAUCCAGUGUCGUCUUUGACCUAGUGGUACCAGUCACGUACACAGUAUACAGGCAAAAUACACACACACACACACACUCUUCUACAUAUCUAUAUCGUUAUCUCUAUCCAUCCAUCUAUCUCUUUCAAAAAUAUUCCCUGAAUAACUGCUUUAAAAUAAAAGCUAAGUUAUCAGUGCUGUAUAUGAAAGAUAUAUUUGAAUGCAGUGACCCAAAGCAGAAAGAUUUUGUGGAUAAUUUCUAAGUAAACAUUUAAAAAGGUUUUAAGUAUCAUUCCCAAAACUGAGUGGCCCCUUAUUCAGCAGCAUUCUGUGACUUGGGAUUCAUUCCUCAUGUUUACCUUAAAUUCUACCAAAGAAACUGUAGACAUCAGGACCAAGGUCUCUUACAAGCUAGAUUCACGUGCUGUAGUCUGAAGACCUUUUUUGUUUGUUUGAGACAGGGUCUUUAUGUUGUCCUGGAGCUUGCUGUAUAGAUCAGGCUGGCCUCAAAUAGAGACUUGCCUGCUUCUGCCUUUCUAGUGCUGGGAUUAAAGGUGUGUGCUCUCACACCCUGCCCCUGUUGAGCAUACUGACGGCAGAACUCUGAUACAGCAUCCAUUUAAGGACGACCAGUGCGAGAACGUGAAUAGAACUAGCUAGUAGAUGUUGAGUCCUGAAAAAUGCUCAUCUGGACAUGUCAGUUUAUGCUUUCGUUUGAAGCAAUGAUGGUAACAUCUAGGACCUGAAGCACCACAUUAAAUUUGAACUAUUUGAAAUUAGACAGUACAAUUUAGAAAUAAAUUAUGAAUUAUUCCUAAAAAUAUACAAAUGUAAAGUGAAAACUGAAGUUCUUCUGUAUUGCAUAGUAGUUCAGAUUCUCUGUGGAAACCAUAAGGCUAUUUUGUCUACUUUGCAUGAAUACUUCAGACUUGUAUUUCAGAGCCAAGCAGUAACUAAAAUGUGGACCUUGCUUUUCAGAGAUAAGAGUUCUUAAUUAUAUGUCUUUAAGUGUUUCCUUCUAGGCUUCCCACCAAGUGUUUUGAUCUUUGAAAUGUAAGCAACUGAUCACUGAUGUAUAUUGGCUGGCAAUUCAUCCUUCUGCCACAUGUACAUAUGGAGAACUGUGAAGGUUUCUAAGGAAUUUAAAUCACUUGUCAGCUUGUGUUCUUAUUCGCAAACACACCAGCUUUGGACUCUAAACCUAUUUUUCCAACACUAAUUCCAGUGCUUCAAAAUAACUCUCUUUUCAACAUAAAAUUGAUGAAAGGAUAUGAAGGAGUUUGAUUUUUCAAAAAUAUGUAACAGCAUUUUAUAGUUUUGAGGGAAGCAGAAAAUGGAAAUAAUUAUUCUUAUGUGUCUAUAGUAGAAUACUAAAACAAAAUAUAAGGCAUUGUUAAAGAUAAUUUUUAUUUUGCUUAUAUUACUUAAAAUGUGAGUUGUAUGUUUUUAAUUUGGGUUGUUUGAAUAAUGGGAACAUCUAAAAGCCUCACAGUGAUUCUGAACCAUUUAAAAUCAAACACAAUGAUCUGAAAAUAAAUGAGUUAUUUGAAAAAUAUCUAAA